GACGAACGCUGGCGGCGUGCCUAAUACAUGCAAGUCGAGCGCUAAAGGUUGGUACUUGUACCGACUGGAUGAGCAGCGAACGGGUGAGUAACGCGUGUGAAAUCUCCCUUUGAUCGGGGUACAACAUUUGGACACGAAUUCUAAUACCGCAUAAAAUCUUUAAACACAGUGUGGGAUGUUGAAAUAUGCAAGUUCAUCACUCAAACAUGGUCCCGCGUUGUAUUAGCUAGUUGGUGAGGUAAAGGCUCACAGAGGCGAGGUUACAUAGCAGAACUGAUAGGGUGAGCGGCCACAUUGGGAGGGAGACCCGGCCCAAACUCAUACGGGAGGCAGCCGUAGGGAAUCUGCGGCAAGGGAUGAAAGUCUGACCGAGAAAGGCCGAGUGCGUGAAGAAGGUUGUCGGAUCGUAAAACUCUGUUGGUAGAGAAGAACGUUGGUGAGAGUGGAAAGAUCAUCAAGUGACGGUAACUAGUCAGAAAGGGACGGCUAACUACGUG
rnacentral:rRNA from 1 species